rnacentral:rRNA from 1 species
UACGUAGGGUGCAGGCGUUAAUCGGAAUUACUGGGCGUAAAGCGUGCGCAGGCGGUUUGCUAAGAGAGAUGUGAAAUCCCCGGGCUUAACCUGGGAACUGCGUUUCUAACUGGCAGGCUUGAGUGUGGCAGAGGGGGGUGGAAUUCCACGUGUAGCAGUGAAAUGCUUAGAGAUGUGGAGGAACACCGAUGGCGAAGGCAGCCCCCUGGGCUAACACUGACGCUCAUGCACGAAAGCGUGGGGAGCAAACAGG